CCUACGGGAGGCAGCAGUGAGGAAUAUUGGUCCAUGGGCGCGAGCCUGAACCAGCCAAGUAGCGUGAAGGAUGACUGCCCUACGGGUUGUAAACUUCUUUUAUAAAGGAAUAAAGUGAGGCACGUGUGCCUUUUUGUAUGUACUUUAUGAAUAAGGAUCGGCUAACUCAGUGCCAGCCGCCGCGGGAAUAUGGAGGAUCCGAGCGUUAUCCGGUUUUAUUGGGUUUAAAGGGAGCGUAGAUGGGUGUUUAAGUCAGUUGUGAAAGUUUGCGGCUCAAACGUAAAAUUGCAAUUGAUACUGGCAGACUUGAGUACAGUUGAGGUAGGCGGAAUUCGUGGUGUAGCGGUGAAAUGCUUAGAUAUUACGAAGAACUCCGAUUGCGAAGGCAGCUUACUAAACUGCCACUGACAUUGAUGCUCGAAAGUGUGGGUAUCAAACAGGAUUAGAUACCCGGGUAGGC
rnacentral:rRNA from 1 species